GACGUUGCUGUUGCUGUUCUGGUUUUUGUCGUCUCGGUCCGGUUUCACCUCCACCACAGUAACCGGAGGCUCUGCAGCUGAAAUACAAGGAAACUGAUGAUUGACUGAGCAGCAGCUAAAAUCCAACCUGUGUCUGCAAACAUAUUCAGGUCUGUUCUCACCUGGAGCAGGUGCUGCCUGACGGACCUGAGGAGAAACAAACAUGUGACCAAGAAUCAGUCAUUUGGAUCGGGAUGAAGACCUGAAACGGACAGGGUAGAGCUUCGUUCAGUUGAGACGACCAACAAGAGACGGGGAGGAGGCGCGUGCUUCUAUGUCAACAAAAGCUUGAGUCUGACUGCGUCAGAUCCCGGGGUCGUUAUCAGGACCUCACCUUGGCAGUGGAGUUUGCUCGGCUCAUUUUGGGUGAGACUGCAGGUUGAGGCAACGCGCCGCUGAUCCACGUCAACAUGCCGCUCUGAGACCCAGCUGUCGGGCUGAGGAUGUAAACGUUUAAAAUCAGGCUUUUUAUUCAUUCUCAGCUACGCAGCAUCCAUGGAGGUGUCAGUGGUCAACGUGUUGGGCGUCUCUUGUCUUACCUGAGUUGCUCAGUUGGGGUCCAGCAGCAUCCCACAGAGCUGCGGGGAAGAAGCCGUAUAGACCUGCAGGGAUCUGAACACUGUGGGAGGAUUACGUAGGAACUCUGCUAACAAGAUUACUAAGCCGAUGAAAGGCAGAGCGGGGCGAGACAUGGAAUCAGGUUACACUUUCAGAAACUGAACCAUGAAGGGAACCACAGUCCUCAAACCAAACCACAAUGGUUUCUCAAUAAAGUUUAGAUCUAUCCAGCAAUCGGACACCAAAUAACUAACGAAAAAAAACAAUCUUCCGAUGGGAAACCUUGGGUACCAUCGACAUAAACAUUAUCCCCGACCAAGAACAUCCCCUCUGUGCAAAUGGCAACAGCCCACCCCCCCAGUCAGUCACUCUUUGCGAUCUGCGUCGCCCUCAGUUUCACACACGGAGCAGACCCGGCUCUCGUUUCUCAGCUCUCAUAUCUCUGACGACAUUGAGUUUCUGAUUGUGUUAUCAGAGCCACAUAGACAGUCCUUAUUUUCUUUUUCUGCCCCUCAGAGUUCAGCUCGUCCCUUCGAGGGCAGCUUGAACUCAGCUCGCAUUCCUCUGGAUGUGAACCUCCUCACCUCCCAGCAAGAAAACACCCUUCAUCAGGCCUCUUCACUUUUACAGAACAGCUUUCAAAGGAGGAAUCACAGAGCAACAAAGCGCCCAAGGUGUUGAUUGGACUGGGGAUGAGAAUUGUAGAAUUGGAGGAAUUGGAGACUUCACUGACUCAAGCAGUGGACUUCAGGUUUCUCACGGUCUUCUUCUUGAGUAAGGGGAAAUACCAGUGUGACACUGACAGAUUGUACUGGUCUGUAGUGGUGAAACUGAGCGUAAAGCUUCCUCUGGGCUUAGAGGGCUGAGGAGGGGCAGACCUGCUACUCCUCUAUAUCGAAAGCUGGCUUGACCAUCUGACUGGGACACGUCCUGAAUGACUCCUAGUUGAGGUGUUUUGGGCAAAGAACAGACAAGGGGCAGAAAAUUAAAAAGCUUUCUUAAAAGAAUCUUUUUAGGUUCUGUUUUUAAUGAUUUAUUUCUCUGUUAUUAAAAUUCCACCUGCU
ensembl:lncRNA